rnacentral:rRNA from 1 species
CCCUACGGGGGGCAGCAGUGGGGAAUCUUCCGCAAUGGACGCAAGUCUGACGGAGCAACGCCGCGUGAGGGAUGAAGGCCUUCGGGUUGUAAACCUCUGUCUUCAGGGAAGAAAACAAUGACGGUACCUGAGGAGGAAGCCCCGGCUAACUACGUGCCAGCAGCCGCGGUAAUACGUAGGGGGCGAGCGUUAUCCGGAAUUAUUGGGCGUAAAGGGCGCGUAGGCGGAUAUUUAAGUCAGGUGUGAAAACCCGGGGCUCAACCCCGGAGUUGCAUCUGAAACUGGGUAUCUUGAGGACAGGAGAGGAAAGUGGAAUUCCUAGUGUAGCGGUGAAAUGCGUAGAUAUUAGGAGGAACACCAGUGGCGAAGGCGACUUUCUGGACUGUAACUGACGCUGAGGCGCGAAAGCGUGGGGAGCAAACAGGAUUAGAUACCCGGGUAGUCCG